GGUCUCAUGGCUCAACUGGAUAGAGCACUGGAUUUCGGCUCCAGCGGUUGUGGGUUCGAAUCCCUCUGAGACCACUA
rnacentral:tRNA from 1 species